UACGUAGGUGGCAAGCGUUGUCCGGAUUUAUUGGGUUUAAAGGGUGCGUAGGCGGCUUUGUAAGUCAGUGGUGAAAUAUGGCAGCUCAACUGUCAAGGUGCCAUUGAUACUGCGGAGCUUGAGUACAGAUGAGGUAGGCGGAAUUGACGGUGUAGCGGUGAAAUGCUUAGAUAUCGUCAAGAACACCUAUAGCGAAGGCAGCUUACUAGGCUGCAACUGACGCUGAGGCACGAAAGUGUGGGGAUCAAACAGG
rnacentral:rRNA from 1 species